AUUGAACGCUGGCGGCAUGCUUUACACAUGCAAGUCGAACGGCAGCGCGGGCUUCGGCCUGGCGGCGAGUGGCGAACGGGUGAGUAAUACAUCGGAACGUGCCCAGUAGUGGGGGAUAGCUCGGCGAAAGCCGGAUUAAUACCGCAUACGACCUGAGGGUGAAAGCGGGGGAUCUUCGGACCUCACGCUAUUGGAGCGGCCGAUGGCAGAUUAGCUAGUUGGUGGGGUAAAGGCCUACCAAGGCGACGAUCUGUAGCUGGUCUGAGAGGACGACCAGCCACACUGGGACUGAGACACGGCCCAGACUCCUACGGGAGGCAGCAGUGGGGAAUUUUGGACAAUGGGCGAAAGCCUGAUCCAGCAAUGCCGCGUGUGUGAUGAAGGCCUUCGGGUUGUAAAGCACUUUUGGCGGGAACGAAAAGGACUGUGCCAAUACCACGGUUCGAUGACGGUACCCGCAGAAUAAGCACCGGCUAACUACGUG
rnacentral:rRNA from 1 species